rnacentral:tRNA from 1 species
CUGGGCGUUCCGCAGAUGACGAUACGGACUUGCCUUGGGAGCAAGUUUUCGCUGGUUUGAAUCCAGCCGCCCAGACCA